GCUUACGGCCAUACCACCCUGAGCAAGUCCGAUCCCGUCUGAUCUCGAAAGCUAAGCAGAGUCGGGCCUGGUUAGUACUUGGAUGGGAGACCGCCUGGGAAUACCAGGUGAUCUAAACU
rnacentral:rRNA from 1 species